rnacentral:misc_RNA from 1 species
GAGGAAUAAGCCACGGCUAAUUCCGUGCCAGCAGCCGCGGUAAUACGGGAGUGGCAAGCGUUAUCCGGAAUUAUUGGGCGUAAAGCGUCCGCAGGCGGCCUUGUAAGUCUGUCGUUAAAGCGUGGAGCUUAACUCCAUUUCAGCGAUGGAAACUACAAGGCUUGAGUGUGGUAGGGGCAGAGGGAAUUCCCGGUGUAGCGGUGAAAUGCGUAGAUAUCGGGAAGAACACCAGUGGCGAAGGCGCUCUGCUGGGCCAUAACUGACGCUCAUGGACGAAAGCCAGGGGAGCGAAAGGGAUUAGAUACCCCUGUAGUCCUGGCCGUAAACGAUGAACACUAGGUGUCGGGGGAAUCGACCCCCUCGGUGUCGUAGCUAACGCGUUAAGUGUUCCGCCUGGGGAGUACGCACGCAAGUGUGAAACUCAAAGGAAUUGACGGGGGCCCGCACAAGCGGUGGAGUAUGUGGUUUAAUUCGAUGCAACGCGAAGAACCUUACCAGGGUUUGACAUCCUGCGAAUCCCUUGGAAACGAGGGAGUGCCUUCGGGAGCGCAGAGACAGGUGGUGCAUGGCUGUCGUCAGCUCGUGUCGUGAGAUGUUGGGUUAAGUCCCGCAACGAGCGCAACCCACGUCUUUAGUUGCCAGCAUUCAGUUGGGCACUCUAGAGAGACCGCCGGUGAUAAUCCGGAGGAAGGUGUGGAUGACGUCUGGUCAUCAUGCCCCUUACAUCCUGGGCUACACACGUACUACAAUGCUACGGACAAAGGGUUGCAAGCUCGCAAGAGUUAGCUAAUCCCAUAAACCGUGGCUCAGUUCACAUCGUAGGCUGCAACUCGCCUACGUGAAGGAGGAAUCGCUAGUAAUCGCAGGCCACCAUACUGCGGUGAAUACUUUCCCGGGCCUUGUACACACCGCCCGUCACACCAUGGAAGUUGGCCAUGCCCGAAGUCGUUACUCCAACCCUUGUGGAGGAGGACGCCGAAGGUGGGGCUGAUGACUGGGGUGAAGUCCUAACA